rnacentral:sRNA from 1 species
GCCAGGCGUAGUGGUGUGCACCUGUAAUCUCAGUGGCUCUGGAGGCUGAGGCAGGAGGAUCACAAGUUCAAGGCUAGCCUCAGCAACUUAGUGAGGCCCUGUCUCAA